rnacentral:rRNA from 1 species
UACGUAGGGUGCAAGCGUUGUCCGGAAUUAUUGGGCGUAAAGGGCUCGUAGGCGGUUUGUCGCGUCGGGUGUGAAAUCCACUGGCUUAACUGGUGGCUUGCUUUCGAUACGGGCAGACUGGAGGUAUUCAGGGGAGAACGGAAUUCCUGGUGUAGCGGUGAAAUGCGCAGAUAUCAGGAGGAACACCGGUGGCGAAGGCGGUUCUCUGGGAAUGUCCUGACGCUGAGGAGCGAAAGUGUGGGGAGCGAACAGG